rnacentral:rRNA from 1 species
AACGAACGCUGGCGGCGUGCUUAACACAUGCAAGUCGAACGGGUUUAUUGGAUGUAGCAAUACAUUCAAUAGAUUAGUGGCGCACGGGUGAGUAACACGUAUGCAACCUACCCUGUACAGGGGGAUAACCCGGAGAAAUUCGGACUAAUAUCCCAUAAAGAUAUUUGAGGGCAUCCUUGGAUAUUUAAAGCUCAGGCGGUACGGGAUGGGCAUGCGGAACAUUAGCUAGUUGGCAGGGUAACGGCCUACCAAGGCAACGAUGUUUAGGGGACCUGAGAGGGUGAUCCCCC